rnacentral:tRNA from 1 species
GCCCAGAUGGCGGAAUUGGUAGACGCGCGGGAUUCAAAAUCCCGUUCUCGCAAGAGAGUGAGGGUUCGAUUCCCUCUCUGGGCACCA